rnacentral:rRNA from 1 species
UACGGAGGGUGCGAGCGUUGUUCGGAAUCACUGGGCGUAAAGGGAGCGUAGGCGGGCUCUUAAGUUGGAUGUUUAAAACCGGGGCCCAACCCCGGCGUGGCAUCCAAAACUGGGAGUCUUGAAUGGAACAGAGGCUAGUGGAAUUGGAGGUGUAGCGGUGGAAUGCGUAGAGAUCUCCAAGAACACCCGUUGCGAAGGCGGCUAGCUGGGUUCACAUUGACGCUGAGGCUCGAAAGCGUGGGGAGCAAACAGG